CAUGCAGUCGAGCGGUAACAGAAAGUAGCUUGCUACUUUGCUGACGAGCGGCGGACGGGUGAGUAAUGCUUGGGAACAUGCCUUGAGGUGGGGGACAACAGUUGGAAACGACUGCUAAUACCGCAUAAUGUCUACGGACCAAAGGGGGCUUCGGCUCUCGCCUUUAGAUUGGCCCAAGUGGGAUUAGCUAGUUGGUGAGGUAAUGGCUCACCAAGGCGACGAUCCCUAGCUGGUUUGAGAGGAUGAUCAGCCACACUGGGACUGAGACACGGCCCAGACUCCUACGGGAGGCAGCAGUGGGGAAUAUUGCACAAUGGGCGCAAGCCUGAUGCAGCCAUGCCGCGUGUGUGAAGAAGGCCUUCGGGUUGUAAAGCACUUUCAGUCAGGAGGAAAGGUUAACGGUUAAUACCCGUUAGCUGUGACGUUACUGACAGAAGAAGCACCGGCUAACUCCGUGCCAGCAGCCGCGGUAAUACGGAGGGUGCGAGCGUUAAUCGGAAUUACUGGGCGUAAAGCGUACGCAGGCGGUUUGUUAAGCGAGAUGUGAAAGCCCCGGGCUCAACCUGGGAACUGCAUUUCGAACUGGCAAACUAGAGUGUGAUAGAGGGUGGUAGAAUUUCAGGUGUAGCGGUGAAAUGCGUAGAGAUCUGAAGGAAUACCGAUGGCGAAGGCAGCCACCUGGGUCAACACUGACGCUCAUGUACGAAAGCGUGGGGAGCAAACGGGAUUAGAUACCCCGGUAGUCCACGCCGUAAACGAUGUCUACUAGAAGCUCGGAGCCUCGGUUCUGUUUUUCAAAGCUAACGCAUUAAGUAGACCGCCUGGGGAGUACGGCCGCAAGGUUAAAACUCAAAUGAAUUGACGGGGGCCCGCACAAGCGGUGGAGCAUGUGGUUUAAUUCGAUGCAACGCGAAGAACCUUACCUACA
rnacentral:rRNA from 1 species